AUCACCAUUUAAUUUUAUUUUGAUAAAUGCCUGGAUGUUUAAUGCUUAUGUUUAUGCGGGUAGAUUUAUAUUUGCAUGAGAUGUGAAUACGCGAUCGAGUGAGACCUAAAUCAAAACCUCCCUAAUCAGUCGAGGGUGAACCAACAUGAGUUAGUCAUAUUUGAUUAAUUGAUCUAAUUGGUGUCUAGGCAAGCCUAAAAGGUGGUUACUUAAUUAGGACCUUACUCUCUGAGUAAGGGGAGCCUCCCACUUGCUUACCUGGCCAAUUGUUCGAUUACCUCUUAUGAAGAACUCAAGUUGCAAACACUAAGACUUGAUUAUGCAAUAUUAAGUCCAUAGGUCUUCCACCGUAGUAGAGCUGCUAAGGUCUUUUCGGUGUUGAUUUGUCUCGGCUGGACAUAGUGGGCAAGUUGCAUCGGGGGACUGGACCUCUCUAUUAGACAUGAGAUAUUGCAGGGUAAAGGUGGGGUUGGGCACCAAUAACUGUUAGGUGAGGACCCAAUGACGACUUUAUUUCUGCGGUUAUAUGGUGGGUCCGACUUAACUAAGUAAUGGGGCCAAUAACUGUUAGGUGAGGUCUUCAUGACUUAGAGACCAAGUACCACUGCAA
rnacentral:lncRNA from 1 species